CCCAGACUCCUACGGGAGGCAGCAGUGGGGAAUAUUGGACAAUGGGGGAAACCCUGAUCCAGCGACGCCGCGUGAGUGAAGAAGUAUUUCGGUACGUAAAGCUCUAUCAGCAGGAAAGAAAAUGACGGUACCUGACUAAGAAGCCCCGGCUAACUACGUGCCAGCAGCCGCGGUAAUACGUAGGGGGCAAGCGUUAUCCGGAUUUACUGGGUGUAAAGGGAGCGUAGACGGCAGCGCAAGUCUGGAGUGAAAUGCCGGGGCCCAACCCCGGAACUGCUCUGGAAACUGUGAAGCUGGAAUGCAGGAGAGGUAAGCGGAAUUCCUGGUGUAGCGGUGAAAUGCGUAGAUAUCAGGAGGAACACCGGCGGCGAAGGCGGCUUACUGGACUGUAACUGACGUUGAGGCUCGAAAGCGUGGGGAGCAAACAGGAUUAGAUACCCUUGUAC
rnacentral:rRNA from 1 species